UAUUGGAUUUUGGUUGGUUUUUUAAUGUGGAUUCACACGGUUAUCGAUCACACAACGCCCUGAAAAGAACGCGAUCGCGGGGUGGAAAUUAAAUGCUGCCGCAAUAAAUCGCGGCAAACAAAGGAGAGUUACAAACUGCCGGCGCCCAAGGGCACGCGGCCGGGGGUGAUAAUGGCGGGCCUUGCGGCCACACGCAAAUCAUUAAUGAUCCUUCCGCAGGUUCACCUACGGAAA
rnacentral:misc_RNA from 1 species